ACCAGUGACCAGAGGAAGCCAUGUUAACCGAGGUUUGAUAUUAAAGACUGAGGGGGGCGGAAUUACUGACUAAUCUAGGCUUUCUGGUGGAGAACAUUAGUUGAACAAUGCCCCUUUGAUUUUCGGAAGCAAGCCACAGGAUCCUGCCUACUCUGGGCUAGGAGCAGACCCUGGAGGCCAGUUGGAGGCCCAGUAGAGUCCCGUUUCCAGAGCUUCGGGUUGGAGUAAUUUACAUUUCAAAGGCUUCAGGAUCAACUGCAAAGAAACACAUUGGGGAAAGAUUAUUUCUAAUUCCCAAUGACUGAAAAACUGGGUAAUUGCUGGCCACCCAGCUGAGGCCUAUCGAGAAUGAAUUUCACAGGGAAACAAGAGAAGGUCACGUGCAGCCAAGCGCAGGGGAAGCAAGAGCCGAGACUGAAUCAAGCGUUAGUACUGGGAUUGAAUGCAAGACUGCACACGCUAAGCAAGGCAAGCGUGCCUGGGGGAUGAGCUGAAACCUGUAACCUACAUGCUGCAUCUCCCAGAAGGCUGAAGCUCUGUGAGCUCACAUCCCUGCCAUUUUCUAGCAACCCAGACCCACUGCCUUUCUUUACUGCACAAGAGACCUUCAGAAGUACUCCAGAGGGCUUAUGUUCCAGCUGUUGCAGAAGACCUACAGGGAUGUCAAUGUUAACACAAGCUUCUGUCACUUCUCUUGUCUUACAGCCACAGCUGUUACUGGAAGGACCAAGCUAUGAGGACCUUUUCUAACCAUCUUGACCACUGUGCUCUCUUCUCUGCGAAUGUCCUUUAACAGGACAGGUGAUGCAGACAUGGAGGUUAUCUCAACACUCGAAAACCCGAAGCUAGGAGCACUGCCUUAAGUGAAUCCAACACAGCCUACAUGCUGAGUUUCUGGGGAGUC